rnacentral:lncRNA from 1 species
UUGAAAGCCACAAAGUCCCAAUGAUCCCAAUAGCUUAUUGUUCAAUAUUAGUUGAGUAAAAUAAUUUGGUGAGUAUUUGGAGUCAAAUAUAUGCAUGUAAGUAUAAAUUCUUUCUAUCUUUAACUUGCAAAUAUUGGAUACUUGAAGCAAUUGUAUGAUUUGUGGUUUUUGGUAAUAGUGAGUGACUAAGUGCCGUUGAAUGUUAAGCUUGCGAAUACCUAUGAAUUGUCAUCAUAAUUGCAAAUUCUGAAAACGCUAAGUUGACCCAUCGAUCUAUGUAAUGAGAUGCAUGGUUUUGGUUUGUGUUCUUGAUUUGAUUUUACUUGAGGACAAGCAAAAGUUCAAGUUUGGGGGUGUGUUAAGUGUAUAUUUAUACACUUGAUUAUACCUUUUAAUUGGAGCUUUUGGUGUGUUUUUACGAUAAUUGGUGCUUAAUUUGGUUAUUAUUUGUAUUUUAGGUGCAAAUUGAAGAAUUGACAACUUUUGGGGUGAAAACUGCAAAUUCAGAGAAAAAGUGGGCCAAAAGUGAAAAAAGCAGAUUUCUGAAGAAUUAAAAGACCGCACGGCCGUGCGGAUUUUAGUUCAAAAUCUCACACGGCCGUGUGAGUGGACGUGAUGGCGCAGUGAAG